rnacentral:rRNA from 1 species
ACGCUAGCUACAGGCUUAACACAUGCAAGUCGAGGGGAAACGGCAUUUAGUGCUUGCACUGAAUGGACGUCGACCGGCGCACGGGUGAGUAACGCGUAUCCAACCUACCCAUUACUGUGGGAUAACCUGCCGAAAGGCAGACUAAUACCGCAUGGUCUUCGAUGACGGCAUCAGAUUUGAAGUAAAGAUUUAUCGGUAAUGGAUGGGGAUGCGUCUGAUUAGCCUGUUGGCGGGGUAACGGCCCACCAAGGCAACGAUCAGUAGGGGUUCUGAGAGGAAGGUCCCCCACAUUGGAACUGAGACACGGUCCAAACUCCUACGGGAGGCAGCAGUGAGGAAUAUUGGUCAAUGGGCGCGAGCCUGAACCAGCCAAGUAGCGUGCAGGAUGACGGCCCUAUGGGUUGUAAACUGCUUUUGUAUGGGGAUAAAGUCAAUCACGUGUGAUUGUUUGCAGGUACCAUACGAAUAAGGACCGGCUAAUUCCGUGCCAGCAGCCGCGGUAAUACGGAAGGUCCGGGCGUUAUCCGGAUUUAUUGGGUUUAAAGGGAGCGUAGGCCGGAGAUUAAGUGUGUUGUGAAAUGUAGACGCUCAACGUCUGACUUGCAGCGCAUACUGGUUUCCUUGAGUACGCACAACGUUGGCGGAAUUCGUCGUGUAGCGGUGAAAUGCUUAGAUAUGACGAAGAACUCCGAUUGCGAAGGCAGCUGACGGGAGCGCAACUGACGCUUAAGCUCGAAGGUGCGGGUAUCGAACAGGAUUAGAUACCCUGGUAGUCUGCACAGUAAACGAUGGAUGCCCGCUGUUGGUACCUGGUAUCAGCGGCUAAGCGAAAGCAUUAAGCAUCCCACCUGGGGAGUACGCCGGCAACGGUGAAACUCAAAGGAAUUGACGGGGGCCCGCACAAGCGGAGGAACAUGUGGUUUAA